AAGUCGGAAUCGCUAGUAAUCGUGGAUCAGAAUGCCACGGUGAAUACGUUCCCGGGCCUUGUACACACCGCCCGUCACACCAUGGGAGUGGGUUGCAAAAGAAGUAGGUAGCUUAACCUUCGGGAGGGCGCUUACCACUUUGUGAUUCAUGACUGGGGUGAAGUCGUAACAAGGUAACCGUAGGGGAACCUGCGGUUGGAUCACCUCCUUACCUUAAAGAA
rnacentral:rRNA from 2 species